rnacentral:lncRNA from 1 species
GAAAAAUAAUGUGGAUGAUGUAUUUUUGUUAAAAUUAUUGUGCUGAAAUUUCCAAUAAAAAAAAAAAAAAAACCCCAACAAAGGUUUUAUUGUGGCCCCAGGAACAGACUGGGGGAAAGGGUCUAAUUUCUAAACUCUUUAGACAGUCCCUGGCGACACCCGCCUAAUGUAAGGUUACCAGACGUUUCUGGGGACAGUCCCCGGAUUUAUAGAUCAGUCCCCAUACAAAAUCCAUUGAAAUGGAAAAGAGUCCCUGGACUCAUUGAAAAAAAUCUGGUAACAACCUAAUGCAUGACUGGUUGCUUUGCACCAGGCAGUGAAUCACAAUGCAGGUUUGAGGUUCCUGGCCUGUCUUGUGAUGCGGACUCAAGCUCAGAGCAGGAGACACUAAGGAACGUACAUAACAGGACCAGUAUGCUAUGUUCUAGAGCUAAGUCCACAGGAAAUGCCAACAUUCACUUACUGCCAGGAGUUUUCCAGAUGCCAUAUUCUAUACCGACGAAGCAAGGGUCACUACAGCAAACCUCUGCAAGGCUCUACACGCUGAGGAUGCCAGAACCUCCGUUCAAACGGCCACACACUUUGUUGCUGGGCAACAACCCUUGGUGACAUGGAAUGCACGGCCACCGUGCCAAGAUUCUAGGAGAGACAGUGUGUCAUGGUAGACUUGGACCGGGGAAAGCCCCACUCAGCCAGGAGACUCCCUGGAUGACCUUGGGGUAGUCACUCACUUUCAGCCUAACUGGCCUCACCAGAUUCUUGUGAGGAGAAGACAGGGAGGAGAAAUAUGGACCUUACCUUGAGAGAAAGGCAGGAUAUACAUGUCAUAAACCACCAGUUGUGAAAAGCUGACCCAUACCAGCUGCACAGUAUUUCUUCCACAGGAUUUUGUACUUGAUGGUUCCCUAUGCUAGACUGAGAAUAUCCCUUCCAACUUGCCUGCAUUUAGACACAGCCACAAGAUUGAGAGUGAAGUCAAUUUGGGUUUAAGCAAGGCCCAAGGCUUAAUGGCUUUACUGAGGCCUCAGAAACAGACUGGGGAAACAGGGAAAGGGUCUGAUUUAUAUAAACCUCAGCCAUCCCCUGGCAACACCCACCUAGCGCAUGACUGGCUGCAUUGUGAUGUGGACUCAAGCUCAGAGGAGACAGAAAGCACCUGCUGAAGUCCCUGCAGGCAGCAUUGAAUACAACCCUGUGUUUUCAGCAGGGGCUGUUAAGUGCUGAAGGGACAAGAAGCUGAGUUUUUCUAUUGUCCCCACCUCCCACAGGCAAGAAGACCCUUUUCAGUCCUGCUUCCCAGUGUGAACAGGAUGGAAGACGUUGGCAAAGAUCUUUCUCUUUAUUAUUUACAUUGGCUAAGCAGUCCCAAUAGCCUGGUUCCUGCAGGUAAGAUGUAUUUUGAGAGAACUGACGGAGCAUCUUCUAUUCACAUGGGGAAGUGGCGUGGGACAGUGAAAAAGGGCUGUUGUGAGCAUCCCCAUCUCUGGGUGGCAGGAGACUCCAGGGGUAUCUGUGCUUACCCAGGGUUCUGUUUCCUUGGAAUGAAGACAACAUGUCUUUUGGCAAGCCUGAAAGUGAAUGCUGUUUCCUGUUCUGCCCCCCCCCCCCCCGGGCAAAUAAGGUGUAUCCACAAAAAUUCUGGGCAAUGCACGCCAUAUUUAUUUUGAAAUGUUACUUGUUUAAUAACUUUUUUAUUAACCAUUGAGAAAAGAAGCAGGAAGACUCAACCUGGGAUGGCAGAACCCCUUCAGACAGUCCUGCUUCCUUGUACAGUCUAAGUAACAGUAAUAAACGAAAAUCUGCCCUUAUUCCCUUAUGGGGGACACAAGAGCCCUUAUAGAGUCCUUUGCAGGUUCUCCAUUGGUAGGAGAAAAUAACAGAGGCCAACCAGAGAAUAUUGAGAAGCAGAGCAGCUAGUAAGCCUGAUCUUUAUUGAACUGUUGCAACAGGAUGCCACCUUCACAUGCAGGAGGCGGGGGACCUCGUACCAAGGAGUGCCCGCCCUUAUAUAGACAUUUUAAAUUGCCCGCCCUGGAGUCCAAGACCACACCCAGAAACAUCAUACAUACAUCACAGAAAGGGCGGGCUACAACAGAAAUCUGAGUGCGUUGUUUACCUCCUGUCUGGCAGGUUACCUUUUAAUGCUUACUUGAUUGGAUAUCCUAGGGAGCCUGGCCAGUCUUUUGUAAUGAUAAAUACCGUAUUUUUCACUCUAUAACACACACCCGACCAUAACACGCACGUAGUUUUUAGAGGAGGAAAACAAGAAAAAAAAAUAUUCUAAAUGAAACAGUGGAUGUAUGAUUUUUGUGGUUCAUGCUGUGGCCACAGACAUGUGAUCUGACAGUGAGUUUGGU